UCAAAAGUCAGUCGGUGCUGAUAAGCCGCCGUCUACACCCAUGUCUUUUGUGUACUCUUGUUUUCCUCGGUGGCGUAAGCUGCCGGUUGGACAUUAUCAAAACCUUUUUGUAGUUGCAAUCAGCGUCAGAAAAAAUCAUAAUUAUUA
rnacentral:misc_RNA from 1 species